rnacentral:rRNA from 1 species
GACCUCAGAUCAGGCAAGGCUACCCGCUGAAUUUAAGCAUAUCAUAA